AGUGAACGCUGGCGGUAGGCUUAACACAUGCAAGUCGAACGGCAGCACAGUAAGAGCUUGCUCUUACGGGUGGCGAGUGGCGGACGGGUGAGGAAUACAUCGGAAUCUACUUUUUCGUGGGGGAUAACGUAGGGAAACUUACGCUAAUACCGCAUACGACCUACGGGUGAAAGCAGGGGAUCUUCGGACCUUGCGCGAUUGAAUGAGCCGAUGUCGGAUUAGCUAGUUGGCGGGGUAAAGGCCCACCAAGGCGACGAUCCGUAGCUGGUCUGAGAGGGUGAUCAGCCACAGUGGAACUGAGACACGGUCCAGACUCCUACGGGAGGCAGCAGUGGGGAAUAUUGGACAAUGGGCGCAAGCCUGAUCCAGCCAUACCGCGUGGGUGAAGAAGGCCUUCGGGUUGUAAAGCCCUUUUGUUGGGAAAGAAAAGCAGCAGGUUAAUACCUCGCUGUUCUGACGGUACCCAAAGAAUAAGCACCGGCUAACUUCGUG
rnacentral:rRNA from 1 species